GGGAAGGGAAGUGCGUCGGUAGGGGAGGGCUCACCUCUCCAGGUUGAAACGAUGGCGGUCAGAACCGCCUGAGCUAAAUGCAAGAUGGUAUGGCAUCCAGACUCUGCUCAUAAGUAUCUGCAGUGAUCCAUACCUUGAUUGUACAUCUACUCUGCAUCCUGAGGACCUGAACAUGCUAACUGGUGGCUGCAGAUUUGUCUUCUAAGGAGCAAGUGUGGUCUGUGGACAGGCAGCUUCAGCCUCACCUGGGAUUUUGUUUGCACUAGAAAGUGCCAAGCCCUACCCUAGACCUAUUAAAGCAGAACUGGCGUUUAACAAGACACCCCAGGUAAUUUGUGUGCACCUUAGAGUCUGAGAUGCACUAGUGUAGUGAUUCGCAGGGGGACAAUUUUGACCUCCAGGGGACAAUAUCUGGAGACAUUUUUGGGUGUCACAACGUGCUGGGGAGAGGGUGCUACUGGCAUCUAAUGGGCUGAGGCCAAGGGUGCUGCUAAACAUCUGGCAAUACCGGGCCAACCUCCCCCCUCCUCCUGCCCACAGUAAAGAAUUACCCCGCCUGGAUUGUCAGUAGUGCAGAGGUAGAGGAAACCCUACACCUGUGAAACUCAUCUGACCUUUACUAUGAAUUCCUGGAUCUCCUGGUGCAUAUCAUUUCUGUUGCCCUGGCUGACAUUUCCACCUUUUCUCUUUUCUAGAUUUUAUUACAAGAACUCAAUCUGUUGGUCUCUAGGAAUCACCUAUUGCCUUGCUAUGUUUUGUUGAACCUGUUUUUGAAUCUGCUUUCUACAUUGGGGAAAUAGGUAUACGUUUGUAAACCUUAAAAGCUCUGUAUGCUAUAAGGAAAUCACCAGACACGUGGAUAAGCUUUGCAGAGGUGAAGGGCUGUCUCCACCAGAGAGACCCAGAAGGAGUCAGGGUAAGCCUGACUCAUCAUGAGAUCAGGUAUCCCCAAUCCACAGCGGACUUCCACAGUUCACCUUCCUAGGUAACCGCUCUGCCUUCCCAGGUAAAGUAGGAAUAAUAUCAGAACUUACAGCAUAUUUUGAGGUCAAAUUGUAGAAUUUGGUGAUUUCAUUUUUAUUAUUACUCAACCUUUUAUUUACAACCAAAUUAAUAAGGCUACUUACACAUAACAAUGUGUGGACAUACACAUUAAGAGAAUCAUUUGCUGCCUAGCACUCCUACCUAGGUACUUUAAGAACAUCAUUGAGUGGAUACUCCCUCUGCUGGGUAAAAUACUUUGCCACAAUAUCAGCUGAAAUGAUACCUCUUCCAGACUGUAAUGGCAGAAGUAGUUAUCCCCUCUUUCGUGCUGUCAUCACACUUGAUGCAUGCCUACUUUAUAAUACUUAUGCCAUUGUCUCUGUUAUUGGGUUUCUGUCUUCUACUGUGAAAGGGUGAGCCCAUAAAAAACAGGGAAUGUGUCUUUCAAAAUGUUGUAUCCUGCUCAUUCUGAUGUGAAGCCAUUGUCCUCCUUCAAUAAAAUAAAACAGCAUUUC
rnacentral:lncRNA from 1 species